GCCAAUCAGACCCUUCCAAUUUCAAAAGCUUAACAAUGCAACAUCUGAAUGAUUGAAGAAGCUGAGCCUCUGAAUCCACAAGAGAGAGAGUUUCUCGAGUACUUGAAUUUGACCUAUUUCCCACUCCACUCCCAACAGCACGACUUUUAUCUGCAAUGCCAAACUGUUCAUAUGGCUGUUUGGACCAGAUGGAUUCAUGGUCUGAACUCAUAGAAUAAGAGAAAGCAUCCCCAUAACCUUUUGAUACAUUAUCAAAAGCCAAAGAGCCUCGCAUUCCUGAUCCAGAAUUUGAAUAGAAGGAAGGCUCAUAACUUGUUCUCCCAACAGUUGCUCCAAAUCCAACAGUAUUGUCCCACUGAGUACCCUUUUCAGACAGAUACAUGUCCCUGUAAGGACCAGCAAGUCCUGAAAUGUCGGGCAAACUAUGAUAUUUCUUUGAAUUUGUUGUCAUCACUGUGUUAUCAACAGAUCCAGAAAACCAAACAUCAUUACUUGGUCUUUCUGAUUGCAGCGGGCUGUUUCCAGAUGCUGCAAAGUUCUGAUACCUUGAGGCUUGUGGAGAACUUAAUCCAUUUUGCAAUUUUUGCC
rnacentral:misc_RNA from 1 species